GACGAACGCUGGCGGCGUGCUUAACACAUGCAAGUCGAACGGAAAGGCCCUGCUUUUGUGGGGUGCUCGAGUGGCGAACGGGUGAGUAACACGUGAGUAACCUGCCCUUGACUUUGGGAUAACUUCAGGAAACUGGGGCUAAUACCGGAUAGGAGCUCCUGCUGCAUGGUGGGGGUUGGAAAGUUUCGGCGGUUGGGGAUGGACUCGCGGCUUAUCAGCUUGUUGGUGGGGUAGUGGCUUACCAAGGCUUUGACGGGUAGCCGGCCUGAGAGGGUGACCGGCCACAUUGGGACUGAGAGACGGCCCAGACUCCGACGGGAGGCAGCAGUGGGGAAUAUUGCACAAUGGGCGGAAGCCUGAUGCAGCAACGCCGCGUGCGGGAUGACGGCCUUCGGGUUGUAAACCGCUUUCGCCUGUGACGAAGCGUGAGUGACGGUAAUGGGUAAAGAAGCACCGGCUAACUACGUG
rnacentral:rRNA from 1 species